UCUUAUGUACAUGCCUACAACGUUAAUGCAUUAAAUCCCAUUAGAACUCUACAGCUAAGCGCAUUUGGGCUAGAGUAGUACUGGGAUGGGUGACCUCCUGGGAAGUCCUAAUGUUUUACAUGCC
rnacentral:rRNA from 1 species